rnacentral:rRNA from 1 species
GACGAGGGGUCCUAGCGUUGUUCGGAAUCACUGGGCGUAAAGGGUGCGUAGGUGGCUUUACAAGUCAGGUGUGAAAUCCCAUGGCUUAACCAUGGAACUGCAUUUGAAACUAUAGAGCUUGAAUGUCAGAGAGGUGGGCAGAAUUCCUGGUGUAGUGGUGAAAUACGUAGAUAUCAGGAGGAACUCCGGCGGCGAAGGCGGCUCACUGGCUGAACAUUGACACUGAGGCACGAAAGCGUGGGGAUCAAACAGG